rnacentral:rRNA from 1 species
AUUGAACGCUGGCGGCAUGCUUUACACAUGCAAGUCGAACGGCAGCGCGGGCUUCGGCCUGGCGGCGAGUGGCGAACGGGUGAGUAAUGCAUCGGAACGUGCCCAGUAGUGGGGGAUAGCCCGGCGAAAGCCGGAUUAAUACCGCAUACGACCUGAGGGUGAAAGCGGGGGACCGAAAGGCCUCGCGCUAUUGGAGCGGCCGAGGUCGGAUUAGCUAGUUGGUGGGGUAAAGGCUUACCAAGGCGACGAUCCGUAGCUGGUCUGAGAGGACGACCAGCCACACUGGGACUGAGACACGGCCCAGACUCCUACGGGAGGCAGCAGUGGGGAAUUUUGGACAAAGGGGGCAACCCUGAUCCAGCCAUGCCGCGUGCGGGAAGAAGGCCUUCGGGUUGUAAACCGCUUUUGUUCGGGAAGAAAUCCUCUGGGCUAAUACCCCGGGGGGAUGACGGUACCGGAAGAAUAAGCACCGGCUAACUACGUG